rnacentral:rRNA from 1 species
CGGACGGGUGAGUAAUGUCUGGGAAACUGCCUGAUGGAGGGGGAUAACUACUGGAAACGGUAGCUAAUACCGCAUAACGUCGCAAGACCGAAAGAGGGGGACCUUCGGGCCUCUUGCCAUCGGAUGUGCCCAGAUGGGAUUAGCUAGUGGGUGGGGUAACGGCUCACCUAGGCGACGAUCCCUAGCUGGUCUGAGAGGAUGACCAGCCACACUGGAACUGAGACACGGUCCAG